rnacentral:rRNA from 2 species
AAGAAAUCAACCGAGAUUCCCCCAGUAGCGGCGAGCGAACGGGGAGCAGCCCAGAGCCUGAAUCAGUGUGUGUGUUAGUGGAAGCGUCUGGAAAGGCGUGCGAUACAGGGUGACAGCCCCGUACACAAAAAUGCACAUAUUGUGAGCUCGAUGAGUAGGGCGGGACACGUGGUAUCCUGUCUGAAUAUGGGGGGACCAUCCUCCAAGGCUAAAUACUCCUGACUGACCGAUAGUGAACCAGUACCGUGAGGGAAAGGCGAAAAGAACCCCGGCGAGGGGAGUGAAAAAGAACCUGAAACCGUGUACGUACAAGCAGUGGGAGCACGCUUAGGCGUGUGACUGCGUACCUUUUGUAUAAUGGGUCAGCGACUUAUAUUCUGUAGCAAGGUUAACCGAAUAGGGGAGCCGAAGGGAAACCGAGUCUUAACUGGGCGUUAAGUUGCAGGGUAUAGACCCGAAACCCGGUGAUCUAGCCAUGGGCAGGUUGAAGGUUGGGUAACACUAACUGGAGGACCGAACCGACUAAUGUUGAAAAAUUAGCGGAUGACUUGUGGCUGGGGGUGAAAGGCCAAUCAAACCGGGAGAUAGCUGGUUCUCCCCGAAAGCUAUUUAGGUAGCGCCUCGUGAAUUCAUCUCCGGGGGUAGAGCACUGUUUCGGCAAGGGGGUCAUCCCGACUUACCAACCCGAUGCAAACUGCGAAUACCGGAGAAUGUUAUCACGGGAGACACACGGCGGGUGCUAACGUCCGUCGUGAAGAGGGAAACAACCCAGACCGCCAGCUAAGGUCCCAAAGUCAUGGUUAAGUGGGAAACGAUGUGGGAAGGCCCAGACAGCCAGGAUGUUGGCUUAGAAGCAGCCAUCAUUUAAAGAAAGCGUAAUAGCUCACUGGUCGAGUCGGCCUGCGCGGAAGAUGUAACGGGGCUAAACCAUGCACCGAAGCUGCGGCAGCGACACUAUGUGUUGUUGGGUAGGGGAGCGUUCUGUAAGCCUGUGAAGGUGUACUGUGAGGUAUGCUGGAGGUAUCAGAAGUGCGAAUGCUGACAUAAGUAACGAUAAAGCGGGUGAAAAGCCCGCUCGCCGGAAGACCAAGGGUUCCUGUCCAACGUUAAUCGGGGCAGGGUGAGUCGACCCCUAAGGCGAGGCCGAAAGGCGUAGUCGAUGGGAAACAGGUUAAUAUUCCUGUACUUGGUGUUACUGCGAAGGGGGGACGGAGAAGGCUAUGUUGGCCGGGCGACGGUUGUCCCGGUUUAAGCGUGUAGGCUGGUUUUCCAGGCAAAUCCGGAAAACUAAGGCUGAGGCGUGAUGACGAGGCACUACGGUGCUGAAGCAACAAAUGCCCUGCUUCCAGGAAAAGCCUCUAAGCAUCAGGUAACAUCAAAUCGUACCCCAAACCGACACAGGUGGUCAGGUAGAGAAUACCAAGGCGCUUGAGAGAACUCGGGUGAAGGAACUAGGCAAAAUGGUGCCGUAACUUCGGGAGAAGGCACGCUGAUAUGUAGGUGAAGUCCCUCGCGGAUGGAGCUGAAAUCAGUCGAAGAUACCAGCUGGCUGCAACUGUUUAUUAAAAACACAGCACUGUGCAAACACGAAAGUGGACGUAUACGGUGUGACGCCUGCCCGGUGCCGGAAGGUUAAUUGAUGGGGUCAGCGCAAGCGAAGCUCUUGAUCGAAGCCCCGGUAAACGGCGGCCGUAACUAUAACGGUCCUAAGGUAGCGAAAUUCCUUGUCGGGUAAGUUCCGACCUGCACGAAUGGCGUAAUGAUGGCCAGGCUGUCUCCACCCGAGACUCAGUGAAAUUGAACUCGCUGUGAAGAUGCAGUGUACCCGCGGCAAGACGGAAAGACCCCGUGAACCUUUACUAUAGCUUGACACUGAACAUUGAGCCUUGAUGUGUAGGAUAGGUGGGAGGCUUUGAAGUGUGGACGCCAGUCUGCAUGGAGCCGACCUUGAAAUACCACCCUUUAAUGUUUGAUGUUCUAACGUUGACCCGUAAUCCGGGUUGCGGACAGUGUCUGGUGGGUAGUUUGACUGGGGCGGUCUCCUCCUAAAGAGUAACGGAGGAGCACGAAGGUUGGCUAAUCCUGGUCGGACAUCAGGAGGUUAGUGCAAUGGCAUAAGCCAGCUUGACUGCGAGCGUGACGGCGCGAGCAGGUGCGAAAGCAGGUCAUAGUGAUCCGGUGGUUCUGAAUGGAAGGGCCAUCGCUCAACGGAUAAAAGGUACUCCGGGGAUAACAGGCUGAUACCGCCCAAGAGUUCAUAUCGACGGCGGUGUUUGGCACCUCGAUGUCGGCUCAUCACAUCCUGGGGCUGAAGUAGGUCCCAAGGGUAUGGCUGUUCGCCAUUUAAAGUGGUACGCGAGCUGGGUUUAGAACGUCGUGAGACAGUUCGGUCCCUAUCUGCCGUGGGCGCUGGAGAACUGAGGGGGGCUGCUCCUAGUACGAGAGGACCGGAGUGGACGCAUCACUGGUGUUCGGGUUGUCAUGCCAAUGGCACUGCCCGGUAGCUAAAUGCGGAAGAGAUAAGUGCUGAAAGCAUCUAAGCACGAAACUUGCCCCGAGAUGAGUUCUCCCUGACUCCUUGAGAGUCCUGAAGGAACGUUGAAGACGACGACGUUGAUAGGCCGGGUGUGUAAGCGCAGCGAUGCGUUGAGCUAACCGGUACUAAUGAACCGUGAGGCUUAACC